ACUUACAGUCUAGUAGGAAACAGACGUUAUUCAAAUAAUCAAAGAAAGCUGUAACUGCAUAUUUACAUAAUGCUCCUAAAAGGAAUAUGAUAUAAAACGAAGAUGAAUUUAUCUAGGGCCGCGCCUGGCUGAUAAUCCCUUUUCUGUAUCAUUUAAAGUCGUUCUGCUUCCCAGAUCAAACUGUGAUACAAUUCCCAUUAAGAAAAAAUAGGUAAAAACAAUGAUUACAGAAAAUGUAUAACAUUAAAUUUAUGUAAAAUUAUGUGUGAAUAUAAGUAUAUAAAGCAAUUAAGGAAGGUUUUCCAGAGGAAGUAGUGGCUGCUCUUCCCAGAAGAAGGAUGCUCCUUCGUCAGAGAUCGGUAUUUGCAUGGACAUUGAAGAAACUUAAGGAAGGUCAUGUGUCUGAAUGGGUUGGGGGAGAAAAGAGAAGAAAAGACGACAGAAUACACGGAGAGGGAGGGUAAGGGCAAGGAAAAGGAACAGAGUGAAGACAAGAACAAAGAAUGGGGGAUGGGGGGAAGAAAAUUAAAUAAAAGGCAGAUUUGACGCCAGGAUGAGAAGUAGGUAGGGAUCAGACUACACAGCUUAGGACAUGUUUUAAAACUGGGUCUUUAUUCUAAGAACCAGAGGAGAAGUUCACCAUAUGGUUUUAGCACAAUCAUAUAUGUAUGUUUGCAAAGGUCACUCCAAGGACUUCCAAUUAAAAUGAAGAUUAAACACCCAUUUAUCUCUGCUCCCUUUCAACAGCCCAUCAAAUUGACAGUAAAUACCUAAAAAAGGGUAUAAACACAAGGACAAAGGGAUCAGAAAAAGCAACAAUAGUGAACAAGAGAUAAUCAUGAACAUCUGGAAUGCAGAGGCAGAUAGAAAAAUUAUUAGGGAAGACACUAAAUGAGUCUUUCGACUUUGAAGAAAAGCAAGUGGACUUGAAUUCCAUGGGUGUAAGCUCCAGAAGAUGGGAAUUUUGUUCACCUCAUUCAAAGUAUCCUGCAUUUGGCAUAUAGUAGUCAUCAUUUUUGUGGAUAAAUGAAUAGCUAUACCCAUGUGAAUAAACUAUAUCUUAGCAAUUCAUCCCUUACAAAUGAAUUCAAAGUUACAGAAGUUCUUCUGGAUGGAAUAUAUGAAAAGGCAGAAUUAAAACAAUCAUGUUUUGUUUACUAAGCUGUCAAAGGUAAGACGCUCAAUAAAAGAAACCAAAACUCAAAAUGC
rnacentral:lncRNA from 1 species